ensembl:lncRNA
CAAACAGAAUACGUUAAUUGUUAGUAAAACUCUACAGACUUCAAACGAAUCCGAAAAGACGACAAGAGAAAGCCUGAGACAGGUAUGCCCUUAACUGCUCCAUUUCCUGUUAUCCAGGACCGAGGUAACCGUAUUCCCAUAUACUUAAAGCAAAGGCUACAGAGCAUGUGGUGUAUGAAUUGGGCUAUAUCUACCUGGCUAAAAUGGGCCAAUGCUGGGCCAAUUCCUGAAGAAACUGAAGUUGUGCAGGUAACAUUAGCAGCCUAUUGUAACAGGUGCUACCCCGUCACCUUUAGCCUACUUUAACAGCCUUACCAUCAAACUUUGCGGAUCGUUAUAAGUAGGUACAAUUACCUAUAUCGGUUUGGAGCUACCGUUAAAAAUAACAAUUAAAAAUCAAAAUACUAUAAAUGUACUUACCGAUUGAAACCAGGCGAAUAUUUUCACGGUCCAAAAAUUCAAGUGCGACAGACACGUUUUCGAGCUUCAUCUGCCUGAAGGUUGGUCUCUGGUGGUAUUUUCUCAACUUCUUCUGGCUCAGGACUUCCAGCAGGGCAAUAAGCCUCAAGCCGUCGCUCAGGUCGAUUUGCAGGUCUGCUAUCCGCUUGUUAACGCACUUCAGGUGCUCAUUGCACCAGCGAGUGAAGGUGUUCUGCUGGAUCUUUUUCCAUGGGGCGUCCUCGGCCAAAUCUUUCUCAGUAGCCGGCAUACUUUUGCCUUUGCGUUACUUUAUCUAAAUCUUCUGUGAGGCUGGGAAUGUAGUGCACGCUGCCUUUGCCGAGGGGUGUUUGAGCUGUCUAGGAACCUACAGCCUGCAAUAUUUGCUUGCUCGAAACUACUACGCAUGCGCAAAGUUCCAUUGAAAGGAAAACGUUGGAUGACGCCUCUACUUAACGCGUUUACUAUGGCCAGUCGAUUGGACGAACGUUCUUGUUCAUCAUACAUUUAGAAAUGUAUUUCACUGUGGAGCAAUGACAUGAUUGGCGUGAUUCACUUGGGUGGAUCAGCAUUGCCUCAUGCUUCCAAACAGCACACGCAAGGGGACGCCACACCUUCAGCAAGAGACAGUUAUUUGCCUCACAGCAAUUUGUAUCA